rnacentral:lncRNA from 1 species
CCAAAUGAUUGUGAUUUUCUUUUUAUAACUUUCAGGAUAUCAAUAGAUCUCCAUUCCUUUCCGAAGGUUAUGUAGUUGCCCAAAUAUCAAGUUGAAAUAAUCUGUCACUCCCCACUUCUCAAGUAAGUUCGUCGAACAUCAAGUGGACUGUUCCUUCCAGGGCAUAAAGAAGUAUGUUUUGUGUCUAAAUAUGGAUAGAAAAUUCUCACAGAACUGUCAAUAAUGAAAUCCACACAAGAGCCAAAAGAUAAAAGAUGAAAAACCUAUCAGGAAAUUAAUAUCUGAACCAUACAUAUUAAGCAAAAUCAAAUGAAGGUAAUGCUA